AUGGCGCCACUGCGCUCCAGCCUGGGGGACAGAGCGAGACUCCGUCUCAAAAAAAAAAAAAAAAAAAGCAAGGGGAAGAGGACCAAAUAAGACCAAAUAUCACCCACUAAAAUGGAGUUAAUGCAGGAAGUAGGACAAAUUUUUUUUAAAAUCCUGUUCGUCUUUCCGUCUCAGGUCGCAGCCGCGAGAGGAGCCGCCGCCAUGUCUGCGCAUCUGCAAUGGAUUGUCGUGCGGAACUGUUCCAGUUUCCUGAUCAAGAGGAACAAGCUGAACUACAGCACCGAGCCCAAUAACUUGAAGGCCCGCAACUACUUCCGCUACAGCAGGCUGAUUCACCACAAGACUGUGGGCGUGGUGACAGCAAAGGUGUCGUGGUGGUCAUGAAGCGGACAUCCGGCCAGCGGAAGCCUGCCACCUCCUACUUGCGGACCAACAACAAGAAUGUUCGCGCCACGUUCAGCCGCACCAGACACAUGAUCCGCAAGAACAAGUACCGCCCCGACCUGCGCAUGGCAGCUAUCUGCAGGGCCAGCGCCAUCCUGCGCAGCCAGAAGCCUGUGACGGUGAAGAGGAAGAGGACCCGCCCCACCAAGAGCUCCUGAGCCCCCUGCUCCCAAAGCAAUAGUCAGUUGGCUUUCUCACAAAAAAAAAAAAAAAAAAAGGGGGCAAGCAAGCACUGCCAGGCACAGUGGUGCAUGACUGUAAGCUCAGCUGGAAGGAUCUCUUAAGGGCAAGAAAUCGAGACCAGCCUGGGCAACACAGCAAGACCACAAGGCUACCCUUGCUGCCACCUGCCCCAUCUCAAGAAUGAAUGAAUGAAUGAAUGAAUGAAUACAAAAAAUAAGCAUUAAAUAGGACAACAAAACCAAUUUACUUUGAUAAAAGGUACAAUAAAAGAAAUGGUGAAUAUUGACACUCACUACAUGCCAGGCAUCGAGGUGAGUGCUUUACAUACAUCUUCUCAAAUAAUCCUUACUAUUCUAUGGAAUGACUGUGGUUAAUGCUUUUUUUCAUUUUGCAAAUGAGGACUAGACAUCAGUGAGAUUAAAUGAUGUUCGUAGUGUCACAGUGAUACAUGGACAUGGAACUCAAAUCCUGAUAUGCUAAUUCUAAAGUGCAAGCCCAUAGCACCAAUAUAUUUAAAUAAAUAAGUAAUGGGAAUAAAAGGAGAAUUUAUUUAAAAAUUUUUAACCCAUUUCUUUAAGAAUUUGACAGAUCACAUAGACCAAAAAUAUGAGGAUGUGGAAAAUAAAUGCAUAUGUAAUAGAUAUAGAUAACUUUGAACUCUAAAAUGAUAAUACAUGCUUUCUUUUCUAAAGUCCAAGAAUAUUUACAAAUAUUGAAAAGUUCUAAACCUCAAGAAAAAUCUUAACAAAUUCUAAAGAAUGAAAAAUCUA